GCUGCCGCCAAAUUAGGCCAACCCUUUUCAUCUUUUGUUAGGUGGAUGCGAUCGAACUCCUCUUAAAGCAUGCGUUCGUUCAUUCAUUCAUUCCUUGUCCAAUGAAACUGAAGUUCGGCUUAGGGGCACCCACAACUCUAAUUUGAUUGAGGAUAUUCGACUUCCUUUGGAGUAAAAAGUGAUCAAAAUGAUGAAUUUUAGAGUGAUUUCAGUUAGAGGAUGUUUGUGUGCCUUUCAAGAUUGUGUCAAAAUUCCAGAUUUUUCUACCAAGCUGUUUGACCGUGGCGAUGAAUUUAAGGCUCAGCGCGCAUCUUUCCCAAAUUGACAUUUCUGGACGUUUUGGGUAUUUUGGAGGUCAAGAUGGCAUAUUUUGAGAAAGAUUCCUUCUGAGGAUUUGUAGAGAACGUCUUCAGCUUUUGAAAGGGACCUUUUGGGACCAAAUCAAAGUUGAUUUGGUUGGUCAAAAGUCCAAUUUUCUGAGAAGUCCGAAUUUCAGUUCAAAUAGGAACCUUUUAUUUUCUGUUUUAUUA